GGGCUUCUCUCAGCUGAGAGUCCUUGAGUGUGACACUGUAGUCUCUCUAUUUCUCACUUUCGCUCGCUCUCUCAAAAAUCAAAAAAGACCAAAAAUUUCCUCUUUUCUGGUGCCCUAAUGUCUCUGCACAACAAAAAACCCUUUCAGAAACUCUCACUCUCUCCCUAAAAUGCUGGGUAAUUUUCAGGUGGUGAUGGCUUGAGAUCAAGGAUCAAACUUGGAGAGGAUUUGGGUUUGGUGUAUUUGGCAUUUGUCUAUCUCUGGUAUAAUAGCUGGUGGAUGAUCAUCAAUGGCUCCAAAUCCAAAAGUUGCAGCGGCCUUUCGUGCUAUGAAGGAUAUUGGAGUUAAAGAAGAUAAAGUUAAACCAGUAUUAAAAAAACUUCUAAAAUUGUAUGAUAAAAACUGGCAACUUAUUGAAGAAGAAAAUUAUAGAGUUCUUGCAGAUGCUGUAUUUGAAGAGGAUGAAAAUGAGGCUGUGGAGAAGAGGAAGAUAUGUAACAAUGCUGAUGAGGAUGAUUUGGAGGAAGAAACUCAGGUGCAUGAUGAACCUGAACGUCCUCUAAAGAGGUUGCGCUUAAGAAGCCAAAGUCAGGUUUCACCUCCAGUGAAUGCCAGCAACCAUAGUGCGGGUACAAGUUCGUUUAAAAGGCCUAAAGUGGAGGAGGAUGAACUACCCAAAACUUGUUUGCAGCAGCAGCCUCAACCAAUCUCACCCCAUCAACCAAUCUCUCCCCGUCAACCAAUCUCACCUCAUCAUCAACCAAUCUCACCCCGUCAACCAAUCUCACCUCAUCAUCAACCAAUCUCACCCCAACGUGGUAUUAUUAACAAGGGCAAGCAACCUCUCAUACCUCAAGUUGCUUCUCUAGGGAAAAGACCUAUGUCUGAGAGAGCAUCUCAUGCUGUGCGCAUUAAAGAGCCAACUGUUGAGCCAGGCAUUGUUCUUUUGCCCAAGCAGAAGGCUCCUGAUAUUCAUGCAUUGAUAACGCCAAAAGAUGAGCCCUUUACUGAUGAUACAUAUAAUAAUGAUGUGUCACGCUAUGAGGUUCCUAUUGCAGUGAUCCAUCCAGAUCCCUCGAGCAAGUUAGGUGCUUCAGUUGGGAAUGAUACAGUUGAAAAACAAGGUUGUCCAGAAAUUCCAGCAUCCCAAUGCUUAAAUGAAGGAAAUUCUAGCGUCCCAGGUAAGUUGGGUUCUUCAGUUGAUGGUAUUCUAGCUUCAUCCAGUGAGAGGGAAACCAACUGCAAGCUUUCAACUGUCCCGGAGGAAUCUCCUGCUAAUUUGGAGAUUGGCUCCUCGCCCACAGGAGAGGUAAAAAUUUCUCUGAGCUGCAACUCCACUCUUGGAAGGCCAGAUUUCCAUUUGCCUAGUCGAGAUGAGGUUAUAAAACUGAUGGAGGAUAAAUGUUUGCGGACAUAUAAAAUCAUUGACCCAAAUUUUUCUGUCGUGAAUCUGUUGAACGAUAUGUGUGCGUGCUUCUUGCAAUUGGCAACUGAUUCCACUGAUGAAUCGCAGGAAGGAUCACUAAAUAUAAUUCCGACCCUGGAUGUAUUGAAGAAAUCUUCUGUGCGGGAUUCUUUGGGGAUUGGAGGCAAUGAACAAAGUUUGUGCACUCCAUCCUGUACUCCAAAUGGAUCAGCCAAUGUUCAAUGCUCUGCUGCAGUGUCUCCCCCAAGAGUUCCAUCAUCUUUGAAUGGACCUGGUAGCGACAUACAAGCCAGUAAGAAGAUGAAUGUGAAUGGUGGUGCUGAAAGUGAAAGUGAAAAGGAAUCUGAAAACAAUCAAUUAACAAAUUCGUGUAGUUUGGUGGUUGUCCCACAAUUUCAAAUAACUCCUAGUGAUGUCAGGUCUAUAUAUGAUGCUAAUGACCUAACAAAAGGAGAAGAAAGGGUCAACAUUUCAUGGGUCAAUGAAAUCAACAAUGACUGUCUACCAGCCUUUAUGUAUAUACCUCAAAACCUUGUUUUUGAGAAUGCUCAUGUCAACUUCACACUCUCUCAUAUCAGAGAUGAGGAUUGUUGUAUGGCUUGUUUGGGUGAUUGCCUUUCCUUAUCCACACCUUGUCCCUGUGCAAAUGAAACUGGAGGCCAGUUUGCAUACACAAAAGACGGCCUUCUUAGGGAAGAAUUCUUGGAAGAGUGCAUCUCCAUGACUCGUGACCCGCAAAGACAACAGCACUUGUAUUGUAGAGAAUGCCCAAUUCGAAGACUGAGGAAUGAUGACUGUUUAGAACCAUGCAAAGGUCACUUAAGGAGGAAAUUUAUCAAUGAAUGCUGGAGCAAAUGCGGCUGCAGUAGAAACUGUGGAAAUCGAGUGGUUCAGCGUGGCAUUACAUGCAAGUUGCAGGUGUUUUGCACUUCUGAAGGUAAAGGGUGGGGUCUCCGAACGCUAGAGGACCUUCCAAAAGGUGCAUUUGUGUGUGAGUAUGUCGGAGAAAUACUAACCAACACUGAGUUGUUUGAGAGGAACACAGAGAGUAAGAAAAGUGGGAAACAUACCUACUCGGUGCUAUUAGAUGCAGACUGGGGUUCAGGGGUUCUAAAGAAUGAAGAAGCUCUCUGUUUGGAUGCAACAUAUUUUGGCAAUGUUGCUAGAUUCAUUAACCAUAGGUGUUGGGAUGCAAACUUGAUUGAGAUCCCUGUUAAAGUGGAGACCCCGGAUCUUACCUACUACCAUCUUGCUUUCUUCACAACAAGAAUGGUUGCUGCGUUGGAAGAGCUCACUUGGGAUUAUAGCAUUUACCUUGACGACGAUGGUCAACCUGUCAAGGCAUUCCAAUGCCUAUGUGGUAGCAAGCACUGCAUUAACAUGAAGCGUUCAAUUAUAUGCUCUUAUUACAUGGGGAGAACCAGGAGUGCCAUAGGGGAUCAUAGCUCAUGAUUUAAAUUUGGUAUCCUUAGUGCUCUCCCAAAAAUUAGGCAACCCUUUUUCAUACUAAACGUUAACGCAUGGACCUGCUUAUCAUGUUAUAAUGCAAGUUAUUAAUUAGCAGGAACUAGAUCUGCAUCAAUUGCAAGAUAAACAGUGGGGAUGCUCUAUCUGCUAUCUUUUUUUGUUGUAAUUGCCUUCUGCUCUGUAGAAGAAAAAAUGAUGAAGCAGAUUUUAGAGAACUGAAUUGCUCCCCUCCGACCAUGCUGUCUAGUGGCUGAGUAUCAGGGUGCUGGUUACCUCGUUUUGUUGAACACGGGGUUAAAUGCAAAGCCUUACAUUUAACCCAACUGUUUUGUAGAUAGAGGUGGUCCAGGGUUGUCAGCCAUCUAGGCAAUCUUGCUGCUAGUGCUAACUCUCAGGCUAUUGCACUGCUGAAACGAUAUGGCUUUAUAAUUUUUGUCUGGUUGCUGCUUUGGAUGGGUUAGAAAUGUUUAGGAUUUGUUCCAUGAUCCUUGUAUAACGUGAUGCAAAAUAUGGAAAGAGGGGGGAAGAUGUUGCAUUGUUGCCUGCGUUCGUUUCAAUAUGCCCUGGCCUUUGACAUGAUGUUUGAUUUAUGCCAAUCUCUAGAGCUGAUUUCAGUGGCUGAUAUUUUAUUUAUGAUUUUCCUUUAUCCUUAUUACAAAAUGGGCAUCUACUAAAUUUACCACUUAUAAACAAAUGUCUAUAUUACAAAAAGACUUAUCUAAAUUUUUUACUGUAAAUUUUCCUGGAAAUAGCUAUCUUAACUGGCUGUUCCGAAGAACCAAAGUGUUCUCUAACUUCAAUGGCUGUUCCGAAGAACCAAAAGUGUUCUCUAACUUCAAUGAGGUGGUGCAACACGUGAUAGAUGAGGAGCGUAAUUUGGAUCUCUUUGCAUUGGUGUGCUCGACUGUUUGGUAUAGAAGGGACGAAAUUAGGCUCAAGCAUUCAGUUUAUCCGAUUUCUCAAAUGCUACUGCAAGCUUCUCAAGCUCUUCAAGACUUCCUUCAUGCGCUCCCUCCUGCUCAGCCAUCAGUAACUUCUCCUAGGGUCAGAUGGAUCCCUUCACCAGCUUCCUCCUUAAAAGUAAAUUUUGAUGGUGCUCUGUUCAAGGACAUUAAUGCAGCAGGUGUGGGGGUGGUCGUUCGUGAUCAUCGGGGGCUGGUUCUAGCCUCAUGGGCAGAAAAUGUUUGCCUCACCCCGACCUCAGAUGAUGUUGAAGCAAUGGCUGCUGCUAAAGCUAUAACUUUUGCCUUUAGUUAGGACUGUCAUCAGUUGUUGAGGGAGAUUCCGAAAUUAUCAUUAAAGCUUUGAGGAGUGAAGAUGAGUCGUUUGCUACCCUUGGACACUUAAUUUCUACUGCAAAUUGUCUAUGGAUGCCUUUUGUUCUAUCUCUUUCUCAUACUUGUAGAUUAUGCAAUUUUUAGCUCAUAGCUUAGCAAAACAUUUGAGACAUGUUAGUGAUUUUUCAGUGUGGAUGAAGGAUAUUCCUCCACAUAUUGAUGAUGUACUUUUAAUUGAUUUUGUCUGAUUUCUUUCUAAUAAAAGUUUGUGGUUUUU